rnacentral:rRNA from 1 species
AGAGUUUGAUCCUGGCUCAGAAUCAACGCUGGCGGCGUGCCUAACACAUGCAAGUCGAACGCGAAAGUGGAGCAAUCCAUGAGUAGAGUGGCAAACGGGUGAGUAACGCGUGGGCGACCUACCUCUGAGUGGGGGAUAACCUUCCGAAAGGAGGGCUAAUACCGCAUGACAUCCCGUGUUUGGGUACACGGACAUCAAAGCCGGGGAUCGCAAGACCUGGCGCUUGGAGAGGGGCCCGCGUCCGAUUAGCUAGUUGGUGGGGUAACGGCCUACCAAGGCUCCGAUCGGUAUCCGGCCUGAGAGGGCGGACGGACACACUGGAACUGAGACACGGUCCAGACUCCUACGGGAGGCAGCAGUGGGGAAUUGUUCACAAUGGGCGCAAGCCUGAUGACGCAACGCCGCGUGGAGGAUGAAGACUUUCGGGUCGUAAACUCCUUUCGACCGAGAUGAAUUCCCGACGGCCUAAUACGCCGGCGGGGUGACAGUAUCGAGGGAAGAAACCCCGGCUAACUCUGUGCCAGCAGCCGCGGUAAUACAGGGGGGGUAAGCGUUGUUCGGAAUUACUGGGCGUAAAGGGUUCGUAGGUGGCUUGCUAAGUCUGACGUGAAAUCCCUCAGCUUAACUGGGGAACUGCGUCUGAUACUGGCGAGCUUGAGUGCAGGAGAGGAACGCGGAAUUCCAGGUGUAGCGGUGAAAUGCGUAGAUAUCUGGAGGAACACCGGUGGCGAAGGCGGCGUUCUGGACUGCAACUGACACUGAGGAACGAAAGCCAGGGGAGCAAACGGGAUUAGAUACCCCGGUAGUCCUGGCCCUAAACGAUGAAUGCUUGGUGUGGCGGGUAUCGAUCCCCGCUGUGCCGAAGUUAACGCGUUAAGCAUUCCGCCUGGGGAGUACGGUCGCAAGGCUGAAACUCAAAGGAAUUGACGG